GGUCCGGGGAUCCUUCUUCAGAACAGGACCAGGUUUCAGAAACAUCCCGGGGAGGUCGCCAGGUCCGAGCGCCAAGACCUGGCUCCUGCCCCCGGGGAGAGGAGACAGUGAGACAGGUGUGACCUAUUUGGAUAGGGCAAGGCUUACCAGGGUAGCCCACAGCACAACUGGUAUCAAACUGGCACACAACACCUUUACAGGGUAAGGAUAUCAAAACUGAGCACCGUGUUCAAGAUGUAGUCCCACCAAUGCUCUGUAACUGAGGCAUAAUCUCCUUACAUUUAUGUCAUUGGCCUUUCUAAUCACUUGCUGCGCUUGCAUUCUAACUUGUGACUUUGCAAGGCCCCUGGAUCCCUCUGCAUCUCAGAAUUAUGCGGUUGUUCUCCAAAUAGGUAAUAAAUUGCAUUUUACCAUAUUGUACACCACUUGCAAGAGUUUUGCUUAUUUAUUUAACCAAUCUAACAAUCUGCAUCCUUGAUAUGUCAUCCCCACAAUGUA